rnacentral:lncRNA from 10 species
GUCCAUAGUGCCCAUGUGAAGGAGCAGACAGGCGGGGGUGCUGGUCUGCUCGUGGGAGAAAACUCCCCUUUGAGUUAGCAUUUUCGGCCACGGUCUGGUAAGUUGGACAUUCCCCUCGUCAGUUCUACGGAACGGUUUCGGAACGGGCUCUUUCUCUCUGCUGCUUUGGUUCUUAGGUGCUGAUUUUAGUUUCCAUCAAUGCUGUGUGGCGAUCACUGUCAUCCUCCAACACUGCAGACGGUGAUGACACCCCAUCAAGACCAGGGUUACGUGAUCCUCGGCCACUGCCGUGACCUACCUGCUGGGUACAAGGGAGGCUCAGUAAAUAGCUGCCAAUUAAAUAACUGUAUGCACUACAAGGAAAGAGAUAGUCUGCAAUUCCAAACAGUGCUGCAGACUUCUCCAAGCCCGGAGUCAGUGAACCAUGAUGACAGACGAUUAAAUAAAUAAACAUGGAAAUACUGGCUAUAGAUUUUAGACCAAUAUAUCCCUCCAUGCAGAAGCAGAUUGAGAGUAUCGUAGAAGAAUCUUUUCUGUAUCCUUGUGGACAUCUCAGAAUUAUGUGAUUUUUCUUUUCUUUCUGCUUUUUGGGAUGAUUUACGGAAGCUUCUUUUUUCUUAAAAUAAAAUAACUGUGUGUCUUGAUAAUUAACACUUGUACCAUAGGUGUUGUUCGUGUUUUUUUCCUCAUCC